rnacentral:rRNA from 1 species
AGAGUUUGAUCAUGGCUCAGGAUAAACGCUGGCGGCGCACAUAAGACAUGCAAGUCGAACGGACUUAAUCGAUUCUUUUAGAUUCGAAGCGGUUAGUGGCGGACUGGUGAGUAACACGUAAGCAACCUGCCUAUUAGAGGGGAAUAACAGUGAGAAAUCAUUGCUAAUACCGCAUAAGCUGAUAGUAUCGCAUGAUAUAGUCAGAAAAGGAGCAAUCCGCUAAUAGAUGGGCUUGCGUCUGAUUAGCUAGUUGGUGAGGUAAUGGCUUACCAAGGCGACGAUCAGUAGCCGAGCUGAGAGGCUCUACGGCCACAUUGGGACUGAGAUACGGCCCAGACUCCUACGGGAGGCAGCAGUCGGGAAUAUUGCGCAAUGGAGGGAACUCUGACGCAGUGACGCCGCGUAUAGGAAGAAGGUUUUCGGAUUGUAAACUAUUGUCGUGAGGGAAGAAAAAUGACAGCACCUCAGGAGGAAGCUCCGGCUAACUAUGUGCCAGCAGCCGCGGUAAUACAUAGGGAGCAAGCGUUAUCCGGAUUUAUUGGGUGUAAAGGGUGCGUAGACGGAGAAGCAAGUUGGUUGUGAAAUCCCUCGGCUCAACUGAGGAACUGCAACCAAAACUACUUCCCUUGAGUGUCGGAGAGGAAAGUGGAAUUCCUAGUGUAGCGGUGAAAUGCGUAGAUAUUAGGAGGAACACCAGUGGCGAAGGCGACUUUCUGGACGAUAACUGACGUUGAGGCACGAAAGUGUGGGGAGCAAACAGGAUUAGAUACCCUGGUAGUCCACACUGUAAACGAUGGAUA